UCACUUACCUGGACGGGGUCUAUGAGUGAUCAUGUAGGCUCAUGCCUAGUUUGUUGACCUCCAUUGCACAUUGCUAAGGGGAAGCUACUUAAGAUCUCCCCAAGAGGAAGAGUCUACAUUAUAAUUUGUGGUAGUGGGGGCCUGUGUUCAUGGGCCCCUG